rnacentral:rRNA from 1 species
CCUACGGGAGGCAGCAGUGAGGAAUAUUGGUCAAUGGUCGGGAGACUGAACCAGCCAAGCCGCGUGAGGGAUGAAGGUACAGAGUAUCGUAAACCUCUUUUGUCAGGGAACAAAGGCGGGGACGUGUCCCCGGAUGAGUGUACCUGAAGAAAAAGCAUCGGCUAACUCCGUGCCAGCAGCCGCGGUAAUACGGAGGAUGCGAGCGUUAUCCGGAUUUAUGGGGUUUAAAGGGUGCGCAGGCGGUCUGUUAAGUCAGCGGUCAAAGCCCGGUGCUCAACCCCGGCCCGCCGUUGAAACUGGCAGUCUCGAGUUGGAGAGAAGUAUGCGGAACGCGCGGUGUAGCGGUGAAAUGCAUAGAUAUCGCGCAGAACUCAGAUUGCGAAGGCAGCAUGCCGGCUCCACACUGACGCUGAGGCACGAAAGCGUGGGUAUCGAACAGGAUUAGAUACCCGGGUAGUC